rnacentral:rRNA from 1 species
AUUCCAGCUCCAGUAGCGUUUAUUAAAGUUGUUGCAGUUAAAAAGCUCGUAGUUGGAUUUCUGGUUUCACAGAACUGGCCUACUUCCUCAAGGUCGUGUGCGCCGUGUUUUGUGUACCAUCCUUCUAGAAAUUGUGUUCCAUCCCUUCACUGGGAUAGAUCCGAGAUCUAGAUCUUUUACUUUGAAGAAAUUAGAGUGUUCAAAGCAGGCUCGCGCUGUGAAUACAUUAGCAUGGAAUAAUAAUUUAGGACUUGGUAUCCUAUUUUGUUGGUUUUCAGGAUCUAAGUAAUGAUUGAUAGGGAUAGUUGGGGGUGCUAGUAUUUUGCGGCCAGAGGUGAAAUUCUGUGAUUCGCGAAAGACUAACUUAUGCGAAAGCAUUCACCAAGGAUGUCUUCAUUA